AAAAGAAGUGGUUGGCUCUACAACAUCAUGGAUGGUGAAGGGUUUUGUCGGCCUUUGGCAUAAGGGAAUUUUGUUCCCAAAACUUUUAUUUCCAUAACUUUCUGGUUGAAACUGACAGGCAAACAAACACUAAUACAUUUUAUCAAAUUGAACUUACUUAAAUCUUUGGGCUAAUUAUGUGGACAUCUCUCCAUUAUUAAAAAAAAAUACAAAUAUAUCUCUUUUGUAGUUGAGCGAUUUAAAAGUAUAGUUUUAAAAUUAAGAGGAGACAAAUGAUAUUCAGUGAUUUUUGAAGGGAAUCCGUGUAAUUAAUUUUCAUUAAAAAGGAAAAAAAAAAAAACAAGAAAGCUAUUAAGCAAAAAAUUUCAAGAAAAUCUAUUGUAAAAACCUCCUUUUAACUAAGAAGUAAAACUCAAAAGCUUUUAUAUUUUUAGUAAAUUACAGUUGGUUUGUUCUUAAAGCUCAAAUUAAAUAGCCUUGUCAUGUAUUGAUUAGCACACUAGUCAAAAAAAAUAAAAAUAAAAAUACUGUAGAAAUAUUUAAUGAGACUUAUUCUAUUGUGGAAAACAUAUUAUAAAAUAGAUAUUAUAUGAAACUUUGUUUCUUUGGGUAUAAGACAAGUGCUAGUUGCUAUUUUUAAUAGUAAAUUCAAAGAAAUACUCAUGCAGUGAGAAUAGAAGAAAAGCAACAAAAACAGAGUCAUAAAAUGAUGUGUUUUUUUUCUUUCAAAAUAAUAAAACUAUAUACCAUUCUAUAUAAAAAUUAUGGAUAUAAUUUUGUUUUUGUAACAUUAAUAUACUCUUGCAGGACAUAUGUAUGUUGUGUUAGGAAUAUAAUUUUUUUUUUACAAAAUAAGACACAUAUAUAAAACAAAAUAAUGAGACCCACACAUAAACUUCAUCAUUUGUCACAAUUUCUCUACCCAUAAUAUAUGAUUCACUUGCUUUGUUGAAAUGAACCUCCACCAACCGAGUGUUAACAACUUCUUAGUUUCACUUUUUCAUGAAAGUCUAUUGCCAUACAGUGAUAAAGGUGUGCUAUGACUUCUAAGGUGCUUUUAUCUCUUUUAUUAGUUAGAUUGAAAAAAAAUGAAUUAUAUAAGUGGACAAAAAACUAAUUAUUUGAAUACUAAUGGAGAGUUGUUUUCAUCAACUUCUAAUUUAAAAUAUGUCCAGAGUUAUUAAGAAGAAAAGGAGGG